UUAAAGGCGUUUCCUUCUCUCUCUCUAGCUUACUAAGGAUUUUGUUAAAGGCACGUAUUUAUCAAUUGCUAUUUCAGUGUCUACUGAGAUGACCAGAGGGUUUUCUCCUUUAACCUGCUGACAUUAAUUCCUUAGCGAUUUCUUAAGAAGCUGCGGUUUUCUUGCAUUUCCAGGACAACACCCAGCGUGGUCACCGUGCAGCGCGUGGCUCCUUUUGCUGAUGCUUACGCAGGGGUUCUGCCCGUAUUUUCAAGGCCAGGCUAAUCAUCGGGUUUCUUCCGUGCCAUCAGCUGGUCUGGGUGUCAGGAUGAAGCUAGCUUCAGGGAAUGAGCGUGGAAGCUGCCACCUUUUUCUAUUCCCUAAAAUCAUAGUGGUUGCUGCUUGCUUCAGGCCGUAUUUUGGAAUCAGAAGGAAAAGCUCAAGUUCACCAGGUGCAGGCCCUGUUUUAUGCAGAAAACUCCCGGUGACAACAACAGCAAAACAAGCGGCACAGCCCCAAGCGACUGUGGAUUAUGAGGAUACGGCUACUUUACUACCAAACGAGGCCUAACAGUCUGACCUGACAAGUUAUGCUUUUCCUCCUAAAAAAAAAAAAAAAAAAAGUGGCCCCGUUUCUUCCAUAUUUUUGAUCAGCGUAGACAAGGUUGACCAGCCUCGCCGGAAAAAUGAGCUGGAGGUGAGUUCUAGAAAGCUAAUAGUCUGGAGGAGGCCGUGAGGGUGAAGAAGGCCAGGGAGGACCCCAGAGGUGGUCUGGGGAUCAGGGAGGAGGCAGACGGCGAGGGAAGAAGCAGGCUGGAGAGCCAGCUAAGUGAGAGGAGCGCGCCAUGGCGAGUUACCAAGACCCUGAAAUAACUGAAGAGUCUGUGACAGCUGAAGGGACAAGAGGGAAGCCGGGAGAGAACACGGAUACUUCCAAGGUGCUGUCCAAUUCUCGAAGCAGCGGCCAAAGUAUAGAUUGACUGAUUGUGACUGAGCUGCUGGUACUUAUCUACAGCAUCCCUGCGCUGUGUUUAGGUCCCUACUCAGUACUUGUGCUUGGUCCGGCCAUAAAAUACGUUCCAGACAGUUCAUCCGGAUAAAAGAAAAACAUUAACGUGAUUGACCUCUGAAUAAAAAAAUCGAAAAGCAGACGCAUAAAGCGACUGCUAUGGGUGAGCCAGUGUUCUCCCCCCUCUGCAUACACAGAACCACCGGGUCCUCUCAACGCUCCCGCGGAGUAACAUUCACGGAGGCGCCGGACGAAGAUUCCGGACACUGCUGAACGCCUACUGUGUGCAGGCCACGUCAGGCACGGGGAACAGCAAGACGAACUGUGAAAAGAGGCGCAGAAGGGAUCUGGGGGACGGCCUCGAAGAGGGGGCAAGAUCUGGGUAGAGCCGUGAGGCAUCAGUAACACGGACAGGGCGGAGACAGGGAGGAAGAGAAGGUCUCGCGGUCAAAGUAAUGGAACACUCUAAGGCACAGAGACCGUGAGAGGCACGCAGAAAUCAAGAGGCGCGCACAGCCAGGGUCUGGCCAAUUACACCUGGGAGCCAAAUCCGGCCCUUGUUUACAAACGAAGGCUCACCAGAGCACGGCCUGUUGGGCUGAGUUUGGGCUUCGGCUGCCUUCCGCCUCGCUGCCGCACGGGCGGGCGGAGGAGUCGUGACCGAGCCCGAGCCACAGACCAUCUGGCCCUUUGCAGAAGUGUGCCGAUGUCUGUUCUGGAGCCUUGCUACUCACAGAGGGGUCUAGGAAGCAGCCGCCGCCGCCGCCCCUGCGAGCCUGGCAGAAACGCAGACCCCCAGGUCCCAGCCCAGAGCCGCAGAAUCGGAACCUGCCCCUUAAAAAGACGUCUGGCGAUCUCUGGCACAGACAGCCCUCCGAUCACUGGCGUGUACGGCCGGGAGGUGGCGGCGAGGUUGCAAAGGAAGAAAAGCACCCACUUAUCCUAUAUAUAGACGGAAGACAGAGGUAAAGAGCUUCCCGCAAAGGAGGAAUCUGAUGGUAAGGAGGGCUGGCGGCAGAACGGGGGCAAGGCCGCUGGCGUCAGAAUCCAGGCAAAAGAUAACCCGGACCCCCUGACCAGGUCACGGUACGGCUUCUCCUUCCUUCCCAGAAGCAAACGACGUUUGAAGACACUACUCCGACUUCGCCAGCGCCCCCAAAUUACUUCUGACAAAUACAGUAUUGGUUAUAACUUAUCAGGAAACAGAAAAACACUCGGUAACGAAAAUAUUCGGCAUCACGUGUUUCUGUGCCUGCCAGACGUAUCUCCGUCUAAGCAAUGCAUCUGGAGAGCAAGGCAGAAACGACGACAGUCAUGGUUAAGGAGUUUGAAUUUUUUUUAACUUUGAGAGACAGCGCGUGAGAACCGUGUGCGCCUGUGUGCGUGCAAGCACGCGUGUGCGAGUGGGGGAGGGGCAGAGAGAGAGAGAGAGAGACAGAGAGAGAGAGAGAGAGAAUCCCAAGCACGGACAGUGCAGAGCCCAAUGCGAGGCUCAAACUCAAGAACCGUGAGAUCACGACCCGAGCUGAAAUCGAGAGCUGGAUGGACCCUUCACCGACGGAGCCACCCGCGGGCCCCAAGAAAGAAGUUUACAGAUCAAAUGAGGAUCGAUUCAACAGCCAUCUGUGAUGAAGGCUGCUAACACGUAGUUCACAGGAUAUUGAAGGGUAUAAUGGCUUAAACUGUGAGGACCUUCCCCACCCCCGCAAAUAAACGUAAGAUUCUGCUGGA